rnacentral:tRNA from 1 species
GGAGAGUUAGGCAAGUUGGUUGCAACUGUUGACGUCAGCCCAGUAGCAUACAAGUCCGCGCGGAAGUGUGCCGGAGGUUCGAUUCCUCCACUCUCCA